rnacentral:rRNA from 1 species
UGGGGAAUUUUCCGCAAUGGGGGCAACCCUGACGGAGCAACGCCGCGUGAGGGAGGAAGGUCUGUGGAUUGUAAACCUCUUUUCUCUGUGAAGAAGAUCUGACGGUAGCAGAGGAAUCAGCAUCGGCUAACUCCGUGCCAGCAGCCGCGGUAAGACGGAGGAUGCAAGCGUUAUCCGGAAUUAUUGGGCGUAAAGCGUCCGUAGGCGGUUAAGUAAGUCAGUUGUUAAAGACCGGGGCUCAACCCUGGGGGAGCAGCUGAAACUGCUUGACUAGAGUUCGGUAGGGGUAGAGGGAAUUCCUAGUGUAGCGGUGAAAUGCGUAGAUAUUAGGAAGAACACCAGUGGCGAAGGCGCUCUACUGGGCCGAGACUGACGCUGAUGGACGAAAGCUAGGGGAGCGAAAGGGAUUAGAUACCCCCGUAGUCC